AGGACGAGGAGGGAGGGGCGGAGCAGCUGGAGGUCCAAUGGCGGUGGCGGUCGGACGACAGCCGGGCCUCUCAUGGCUGGACGAGGUAGCGAUGUGCGGAGCGAAGCAGCGGGAGCUCGGACGGUGGCGGCGGUCGGACGGUGGCGGCGGUCGGACGGCAGCGGGUCCUGUCAUGGAUGGACGAGCUCUCUGCCAAGCCAUGGACUUGCUGCUGCCAACCCUCACCGGCCUCCUCCCUCCUCUCUCUGCACCCUCUUGAGCUUUCCCUUUUUAUUUUGAUGUAUGUAUACUCCUGGUCAUGUUGAAGAUCGAGGGUUUGUAUUGCUUCUAGGCCAAGAAACUGAGAGGGGCUUUCUUCUUCGAGUCGCCGGAACCAAACGACAACGUGCUGCAGACUUUCUGGUCUGCUAUGUGUUCUUCACUAAAUCCUCCAAAUCCUACAGGUAGCGGCUGCUCUAACCAGCUGGUCUACUGCAGGUUGGAGUAGGUUAUAUCAUGUAGUCAUGGUAGGUGCUCUUUUUUAUUUUGCCCCAGAAAGAAGAGGGCCAGCGACACCUUUAAGGGCAGCAGCCAACAUUGAGAACGACAGGGUGCCAGUGGGGGUUAACCUCGGGAGAAGUUGCUGCGAGGUACAUCACAUGCUCGACAUGGUGUAGGAUGGUUCAGCUUCAAAAGCACCAAAAAAUUAUGUUAAUACAUGGGUGAGUGGAGAUGCUGCAUUUUUGGAGUUCUUAAAUUCUUGAUGAAGAGGAUUUUGGAGGUACGUGCCACCGGUGCUCAGGGCGCUUAAUUAACUGCAGCAGCAGACCAUGGAUUAUUAAUGCUGCAGCAGCAGAACAUGGAUUAUUAAUGGUGUGCAAUCUAGCUUGGUUACAAAGCCUCUUAAUUCUUGGUCCUAUGUUUGAAAGCAUUGUGCUUAAAUUUUGAUUAGUGUGAGUGACUGAAUUCUUGUGGUCAUGCAUAAUGCAGCUGGAGUUUUUGAAAUAUGGUGGAAAAAUUAUUUGUAUUUUUAUCAAUGUAGUUUACUACCGCUCAAUUGGACAUGUGAAUUCAGACGGAUUACCCCACAAGGAACAGACACAACUCGUCUAAUUACUUUACUAUGAACCAGCUUCCAUGGGCACGUUUUGAUUCAUUUCAAUGCUCACUUGCUCCUCUACUUUCACUUAGAACUGGUUAGCAGAUCUCUUUUUGUGAGGAAAGCUUUUAGAAUUAUCCUUUUUUAUGUUGUACGAUUCAAUGUUCAGUUUGCGUUGCCAAGCGUCUAUAUAAAUAACCUUGCAGCUUCUCUAGAUCAGUUUUCAUUAGAAAGAUAACCUUAGCUUUCAUUGUUCAGGAUCUUUCAUUUUUUUUGUAUUUUUCGUUUCAAUCUUUGCUACAGUUAACCUUAAGAAAAGAGAAGGGAAACUCAUGAGAAAACCUCACUAUAAAUUUCUCAUUAGAUCAUAUUCUUUAUUCAACAGAUGAACCGUCUGUCUUUGGAAGCGGCUAUUCAUUGGAGAGGGUAUUGUUCCUUUAUGGUCAUAAGACAGACUUCUCUUUGGAAGCGGAAAUGGAAGCGGCACAUGAGGCGUGCUCCUGCCCUUGCAAGUGCUCCACGAAGCCGGUAAACCGGAAGAUGGACUCUCAUUAUUCUUUCAAAAGAAAGCUACAUACAUAGUUCCAUCCAUUAUUUGGCAUAUGGAAAUUUGUUUCCUGAGAAGAGAAAAUCAUACCUGAUCGUUCACAUGGAACAUUACAACAAUAUCACAAUGUAUUCUUUUUGUCUUCCAAGUAACAAAUAUAUUUGAGAGCCAGACUUGAUCCACUUACUAUUUAACAUUGUAGUUAACUCAACAAUCAGUAAGUUCUACAAAUCUUCGCUCUCUUUGUUUGGGGUAUAGCUGCCUAUUUUGAUGUACAAUACUAUAAAUGUGAUCAUGUAUAUUGUACAUCAUGGUUAAUUUAUUUUUGAAAUAUUCUUAAACCGUUGUUAGAGAACAGAUAUUCCAACUCAAUGAGCCAUUAAUACUUUCAUUUCUAGGGAAGAUGUCAUUGAUAGAUUGAACUGUUUUCGGGCUACUUUAUCAAUUUCAAAAUAUAUUUUUAGACAACAGCUGUUAUGUCUUCUUGGGCUGCGUUUUCAAAUCUUUGAGAGCAGGGUAGCAAUUGUUUGUUUUCCAAUUGAAAUUAGGCAACCUGCAAUUUAAUUAUGUUCAAUAUUUGGUCGCAUUAUUUUCCCAAAAAACAUGGCAAUAGCAUACUGUACAUGUAUUUUGACAAUAUAAAUCUCAAUUCUUCUCCAUCCACCUAGGUACAAGCAGGAACUUCAUGUGUUAGUUUAUUUACAUGCAUGGUUGCUUAGAUUCAUUGUUUAACAUCCUCUCGUAGGUUGUGCAGCGAUGGCAAGAG